GAUGAACGCUGGCGGCAUGCCUAACACAUGCAAGUCGAUCGGUAAGGCUCUUCGGAGUACACGAGAGGCGGACGGCUGAGUAACGCGUAGGAACACACCCUGCAGUGAGGGAUAAGACACCGAAAGGUGUUCUAAUACCGCAUACGGUCUUCGGAUUAAAGCAUUUAUGCGCUGAAGGAGUGGCCUGCGUCAUAUUAGAUAGUUGGUGAGGUAGUGGCUCACCAAGUCGAUGAUGUGUAGCUGGUCUGAGGGGAUGAUCAGCCAGACUGGAACUGAGACACGGUCCAGACUCCUACGGGAGGCAGCAGUGAGGAAUAUUUCACAAUGAGCGAAAGCUUGAUGGAGCAAUGCCGCGUGCAGGAUGAAGGCCCUCGGGUUGUAAACUGCUUUUAUAAGAGAAGAUUAUGACGGUAACUUAUGAAUAAGGGACGGCUAACUACGUG
rnacentral:rRNA from 1 species